CCUUUUACAAGUGACUUUUCCUCAGACAACAAUUGAAUUCUAAUGUGUUUAUCUUGAACUUGUAUUAUGGCUGGUAGCCUAAGCAUUGUAUUUCAACAGCCUCUUAAAAGUGUCCAUAAUAGAUGUGGAAAAUCAAAGUGCCACACAUCCAGUUGUUUUUCAGCUUUUGGUGCCUUAAUUUGCAUCGCCUGAUCAGCUGAGGAUCUGCUGAGUGCAGAAACAAUCUUCGUGCACCGGCUAAUUUAUAGCAUGGCAGAACAGUUGUUUUCUAGACAACUUGUAAGGAAACUGCUUCUCCUCAUUUGUCUUCUGAUCAGAGCUGCACAAGAACUCUUGAUCAUUUACAAAUGACGAAAGUGAGACUUGUAAAAG
rnacentral:lncRNA from 1 species